rnacentral:tRNA from 1 species
GUAAGUAUAGUUUAAUUAAAACUUUAGAUUGUGAAUCUAACAAUAGAAAUUAACACUUCUUACUUACC